GAUGAACGCUGGCGGCGUGCCUAACACAUGCAAGUCGAGCGAACGGACGAGAAGCUUGCUUCUCUGAUGUUAGCGGCGGACGGGUGAGUAACAAGUGGAUAGCCUAUCUAUAAGACUGGGAUAACUUCGGGGAAUCGUAGCUAAGACCGGAUUAUAUUUUGAACCGCAUGGUUCAACAGUGGAAGGCGGUCUUGCUGUCACUUAUAGAUGGUUCCGCGCUGCAUUAGCUAGUUGUUAAGGUAACGGCUUACCAAGGCAACGAUGGAUAGCCGACCUGAGAGGGUGAUCGGCCACACUGGCACUGAGACACGGUCCAGACUCCUACGGGAGGCAGCAGUAGGGAAUCUGCCGCAAUCAGCGAAAGCCUGACGGAGCAGCGCCGCGUGAGUGAUGAAGGUCUUCGGAUCGGAAAACUCUGUUAUUAGGGAAGAACAUAUGUCUAAGUAGCUGUGCACAUCGUGACGGUACCUAAACAGGAAGCCCCGGCUAACUACGUG
rnacentral:rRNA from 1 species